rnacentral:rRNA from 1 species
GACGAACGCUGGCGGCGUGCCUAAUACAUGCAAGUCGAACGAACUCUGGUAUUGAUUGGUGCUUGCAUCAUGAUUUACAUUUGAGUGAGUGGCGAACUGGUGAGUAACACGUGGGAAACCUGCCCAGAAGCGGGGGAUAACACCUGGAAACAGAUGCUAAUACCGCAUAACAGCUUGGACCGCAUGGUCCGAGUUUGAAAGAUGGCUUCGGCUAUCACUUUUGGAUGGUCCCGCGGCGUAUUAGCUAGAUGGUGGGGUAACGGCUCACCAUGGCAAUGAUACGUAGCCGACCUGAGAGGGUAAUCGGCCACAUUGGGACUGAGACACGGCCCAAACUCCUACGGGGGGCAGCAGUAGGGAAUCUUCCACAAUGGACGAAAGUCUGAUGGAGCAACGCCGCGUGAGUGAAGAAGGGUUUCGGCUCGUAAAACUCUGUUGUUGAAGAAGAACAUAUCUGAGAGUAACUGUUCAGGUAUUGACGGUAUUUAACCAGAAAGCCACGGCUAACUACGUGCCAGCAGCCGCGGUAAUACGUAGGUGGCAAGCGUUGUCCGGAUUUAUUGGGCGUAAAGCGAGCGCAGGCGGUUUUUUAAGUCUGAUGUGAAAGCCUUCGGCUCAACCGAAGAAGUGCAUCGGAAACUGGGAAACUUGAGUGCAGAAGAGGACAGUGGAACUCCAUGUGUAGCGGUGAAAUGCGUAGAUAUAUGGAAGAACACCAGUGGCGAAGGCGGCUGUCUGGUCUGUAACUGACGCUGAGGCUCGAAAGUAUGGGUAGCAAACAGGAUUAGAUACCCUGGUAGUCCAUACCGUAAACGAUGAAUGCUAAGUGUUGGAGGGUUUCCGCCCUUCAGUGCUGCAGCUAACGCAUUAAGCAUUCCGCCUGGGGAGUACGGCCGCAAGGCUGAAACUCAAAGGAAUUGACGGGGGCCCGCACAAGCGGUGGAGCAUGUGGUUUAAUUCGAAGCUACGCGAAGAACCUUACCAGGUCUUGACAUACUAUGCAAAUCUAAGAGAUUAGACGUUCCCUUCGGGGACAUGGAUACAGGUGGUGCAUGGUUGUCGUCAGCUCGUGUCGUGAGAUGUUGGGUUAAGUCCCGCAACGAGCGCAACCCUUAUUAUCAGUUGCCAGCAUUAAGUUGGGCACUCUGGUGAGACUGCCGGUGACAAACCGGAGGAAGGUGGGGAUGACGUCAAAUCAUCAUGCCCCUUAUGACCUGGGCUACACACGUGCUACAAUGGAUGGUACAACGAAUUGCGAACUCGCGAGAGUAAGCUAAUCUCUUAAAGCCAUUCUCAGUUCGGAUUGUAGGCUGCAACUCGCCUACAUGAAGUCGGAAUCGCUAGUAAUCGCGGAUCAGCAUGCCGCGGUGAAUACGUUCCCGGGCCUUGUACACACCGCCCGUCACACCAUGAGAGUUUGUAACACCCAAAGUCGGUGGGGUAACCUUUUAGGAACCAGCCGCCUAAGGUGGGACAGAUGAUUAGGGUG